AAGCAAUGAUCAUAUUAGGUAGAGCUACAUUUACCUUGACUUUGUCUGAUGUCCGUUUUCCACCAAAGCCUCCAGAGCCAACAAGAAAGAGAGAGAACUGAUUGUAGCAUGUAAGUUCCUUCUCAGAGUAAGAAUACAC